rnacentral:rRNA from 1 species
UACGUAGGGUGCAAGCGUUGUCCGGAAUUAUUGGGCGUAAAGAGCUCGUAGGCGGUCUGUUACGUCGGCUGUGAAAACCUGGGGCUCAACCCCGGGCCUGCAGCCGAUACGGGCAGACUAGAAUUCGGUAGGGGAGACUGGAAUUCCUGGUGUAGCGGUGGAAUGCGCAGAUAUCAGGAGGAACACCGGUGGCGAAGGCGGGUCUCUGGGCCGAUACUGACGCUGAGGAGCGAAAGCGUGGGGAGCGAACAGG